rnacentral:rRNA from 1 species
CAUCGGAACAUGUCCUGUAGUGGGGGAUAGCCCGGCGAAAGCCGGAUUAAUACCGCAUACGAUCUGAGGAUGAAAGCGGGGGACCUUCGGGCCUCGCGCUAUAGGGUUGGCCGAUGGCUGAUUAGCUAGUUGGUGGGGUAAAGGCCUACCAAGGCGACGAUCAGUAGCUGGUCUGAGAGGACGACCAGCCACACUGGGACUGAGACACGGCCCAGACUCCUACGGGAGGCAGCAGUGGGGAAUUUUGGACAAUGGGCGAAAGCCUGAUCCAGCAAUGCCGCGUGUGUGAAGAAGGCCUUCGGGUUGUAAAGCACUUUUGUCCGGAAAGAAAUCCUUGGUUCUAAUAUAGCCGGGGGAUGACGGUACCGGAAGAAUAAGCACCGGCUAACUACGUGCCAGCAGCCGCGGUAAUACGUAGGGUGCAAGCGUUAAUCGGAAUUACUGGGCGUAAAGCGUGCGCAGGCGGUUUGCUAAGACCGAUGUGAAAUCCCCGGGCUCAACCUGGGAACUGCAUUGGUGACUGGCAGGCUAGAGUAUGGCAGANGGGGGUAGAAUUCCACGUGUAGCAGUGAAAUGCGUAGAGAUGUGGAGGAAUACCNAUGGCGA